AUAUUUAAUUUUUUGUUUAUUUUAUAUUUAUUAAUUUUGUAUUUAUUUAAUUUUUUUUUUGAGAAUAUUUUUUAUUUAAAGUAGUAAUAAUUUUUUGUUAUUUUUAUUUGAAUUAUUUUUUUAUAGUUUAUUUUUACUGUAAAGGGUUAUUAAUAAUAAUAAUUAAAGAAUUAUUUAUAUUUAUUACCUUUUGUAUCAGGGAAGAACAACUAUUAUUUUUAUUUAUUAUUUCUCGAAUUUAUAAUGAGCUAAUUAUAAUUUGAAAAUUUUGUUGCAGUAAAAUUUAUUAUUUGUAUUUAGAGAUGAUAUGUUAUUCGAAUUAUUAUAUAUCUAGUUUUUCUUUUAUUUAAUUUAGGGAUAAGCUUAAAUAUUUUUUAUAAUUAUUUUUUAAUUAUUUUUUAUGAGUUGAUAGUGCUUUAAUUUUUGUUAGUUUAAUAACUAAUAAUAUUUUAUAAUUUAUUUAUUAAUUAGAAAUUAUUUUUAAAAUUUUGUUUAUUUUGUUAUAAUGUUUUUAUUAGUAUAAUUUUUUUAUAUAUUUAUAUAAUUUAUCUUAAUUUUUUUAAAGGAAUUCGGCAAAUAUAUUUUUCGUCUGUUUAUCAAAAACAUAGUUUUUUGUUUAUUUAAAAAAUAUAACCUGCCCGGUGAUUUAAUUUAACGGCCGCAAUAUUUGUGCUAAGGUAGCAUAAUAAUUUGUCUUUUAAUUGAUGACUAGAAUGAAGGGUUGGACGGGGAAUAGCUGUCUCUAAUAUUUUUAUUUUAAAUUUACUUUCAAGUAAAAAGGCUUGAAUUUUUUAGUGGGACGAGAAGACCCUAUAGAGUUUUAUAAUUUUAUUCAUUUAUAUUACAUAUGUUUUUGUAUAAAUUAUUUGGUUGGGGUGAUUAAUUAAUAAGAUCUAUUUUAGAAUUUAUGACUUUAGGUUUAUUUAUGAUCCAUAUUUUAUGAUUAUUAGAUUUAAUUACCUUAGGGAUAACAGCGUUAUACUUUUGUAGAGUUCUUAUCGAUGAAAGUGAUUUCGACCUCGAUGUUGGAUUAAAAUACUUAAUUUAGAGAAGAAGCUAAUUUAAGUAGUCUGUUCGACUAUUAAAAUUUUACAUGAUCUGAGUUCAGACCGGUGUAUACCAGGUCAGUUUUUAUCUACUAUAUAAUAUAUGAUUUUUUUGUACGAAAGGACUAAAUAUCUAAAUUUAA
rnacentral:rRNA from 1 species